GGGUUGUGAGGUUAAGCGACUAAGCGUACACGGUGGAUGCCCUGGCAGUCAGAGGCGAUGAAGGACGUGCUAAUCUGCGAAAAGCGCCGGCGAGGUGAUAUGAACCUUUGACCCGGCGAUGUCCGAAUGGGGAAACCCAGUGUGUUCCGACACACUAUCGUUAACUGAAUACAUAGGUUAACGAGGCGAACCGGGGGAACUGAAACAUCUAAGUACCCCGAGGAAAAGAAAUCAACCGAGAUUCCCCCAGUAGCGGCGAGCGAACGGGGAGCAGCCCGGAGUCUGAAUCAGCUUGUGUGUUAGUGGAACGGUCUGGAAAGUCCGACGGUACAGGGUGAUAGUCCCGUACACGAAAAUGCACUUGCUGUGAACUCGAAGAGUAGGGCGGGACACGUGGUAUCCUGUCUGAAUAUGGGGGGACCAUCCUCCAAGGCUAAAUACUCCUGACUGACCGAUAGUGAACCAGUACCGUGAGGGAAAGGCGAAAAGAACCCCGGCGAGGGGAGUGAAAAAGAACCUGAAACCGUGUACGUACAAGCAGUGGGAGCCUCUUUAUGGGGUGACUGCGUACCUUUUGUAUAAUGGGUCAGCGACUUAUAUUCUGUAGCAAGGUUAACCGUAUAGGGGAGCCGAAGGGAAACCGAGUCUUAACUGGGCGUUAAGUUGCAGGGUAUAGACCCGAAACCCGGUGAUCUAGCCAUGGGCAGGUUGAAGGUUGGGUAACACUAACUGGAGGACCGAACCGACUAAUGUUGAAAAAUUAGCGGAUGACCUGUGGCUGGGGGUGAAAGGCCAAUCAAACCGGGAGAUAGCUGGUUCUCCCCGAAAGCUAUUUAGGUAGCGCCUCGUGAACUCAUCUUCGGGGGUAGAGCACUGUUUCGGCUAGGGGGCCAUCCCGGCUUACCAACCCGAUGCAAACUACGAAUACCGAAGAAUGUUAUCACGGGAGACACACGGCGGGUGCUAACGUCCGUCGUGAAGAGGGAAACAACCCAGACCGCCAGCUAAGGUCCCAAAGUCAUGGUUAAGUGGGAAACGAUGUGGGAAGGCACAGACAGCCAGGAUGUUGGCUUAGAAGCAGCCAUCAUUUAAAGAAAGCGUAAUAGCUCACUGGUCGAGUCGGCCUGCGCGGAAGAUGUAACGGGGCUAAACCAUGCACCGAAGCUGCGGCAGCGACACUAUGUGUUGUUGGGUAGGGGAGCGUUCUGUAAGCCGUUGAAGGUGUGCUGUGAGGCAUGCUGGAGGUAUCAGAAGUGCGAAUGCUGACAUAAGUAACGAUAAAGCGGGUGAAAAGCCCGCUCGCCGGAAGACCAAGGGUUCCUGUCCAACGUUAAUCGGGGCAGGGUGAGUCGACCCCUAAGGCGAGGCCGAAAGGCGUAGUCGAUGGGAAACAGGUUAAUAUUCCUGUACUUGGUGUUACUGCGAAGGGGGGACGGAGAAGGCUAUGUCAGCCGGGCGACGGUUGUCCCGGUUUAAGCAUGUAGGCGGAGGUUCCAGGUAAAUCCGGUACCUUAUUAACGCUGAGGUGUGAUGACGAGGCACUACGGUGCUGAAGUGAUAAAUGCCCUGCUUCCAGGAAAAGCCUCUAAGCAUCAGGUAACACGAAAUCGUACCCCAAACCGACACAGGUGGUCAGGUAGAGAAUACCAAGGCGCUUGAGAGAACUCGGGUGAAGGAACUAGGCAAAAUGGUGCCGUAACUUCGGGAGAAGGCACGCUGAUA
rnacentral:rRNA from 1 species